GCUGACUGUAGCUUGUAAUUGAAUUCGGCUUUUUUGCGCAGACUAGGUGGGAGGCGAUGAUGAUUUUCUUCCGGGAAAAUUUUAGCAUCAGUGAGAGACACUCUGAGAAAGCUAGAAUCCUAAUGUGAUCCUUGAAUCAGGACACUUGACAGUUGCAGGUGGCAGUUGUUACUGGGGCGUACGCCUUAUAAACGUACUAAGGCGUGCAAAGGUUCCCUCAAUCUGGACGGAAAUCAGACGUUAGAGUGUAAAGCAGAAGGGAGCUUGACUGCAAGACUACAAGUCGAGCAGGGCGAAAGCCGCUUAGUGAUCCGACGGUGCCGUGUGGAAGGCCGUCGCUCAACGAUAAAAGUA
rnacentral:rRNA from 1 species